rnacentral:rRNA from 1 species
UACGAAGGGGACUAGCGUUGUUCGGAAUUACUGGGCGUAAAGCGCACGUAGGCGGAUUUGUUAGUCAGGGGUGAAAUCCCGGGCUCAACCUCGGAACUGCCUUGAUACUGCAAGUCUCGAGUCCGAUAGAGGUGGGUGGAAUUCCUAGUGUAGGAGGUGAAAUUCGUAGAUAUUAGGAAGAACACCAGUGGCGAAGGCGGCUCACUGGCCCGAUACGUGACGCU